GAAAAUGGGUGAGAGAAAAUGUGUGAAAAUUUAAGUACAUUCUCUAAACAGAAUUAACUAAUCACAGGCUUAUACCUGACCCAAAGCACACUUGCAGACAGCUGCCAGGGGCUCCUUGGCUUUGCCACAGCUCAGUAAGUACAGAGCCCUAGUUAGCAGGUAGCUCAAGUCACUCUGUGUUGCUGUGGUUUAAAGGAUUUCUGAGAGUUACAUGAGUGUGAAAUGAGGAGUGCUGCAGGGGUGGAUCCUGCUACAGGAAGAACACCGGUUAUUUGAGACUACAGCAAGCUCAAGGAUGGAUGCUUUGGCAGGUGUACAGAGGAGCUGCAGGAAAGGACAGACUUGUAUGUAAAAGCACACUGAUAAUCACUGAGAGAGCUGGCAAUCACCAAGAGGGAUAAUCUUCAGCAGAGCUGGUAGUCACCAACAGAGCUGUGCAUGCCAUGCAGGCUCGGGGCAGCGAGCAAGUCACUGCUCAGGACCCUGUCAGCUUUAGCCAUGUGGCACACACUGGCCCCAGAGCUGCCCAGCUCCUUCUGGUUUGUGGUUGUCCUGUUCUGGAAGAAAACUAAUCUGAGGCCAGGCAGAUACUGAAGUGGGGGAGAUGUUCUCCUGGGGCAGAAGGCAGUGACCCAGCUGUGCACUCAGGACGUGGGUGUUUGCAUGUUACUGUCGCUCUCUGAGGUCAUUUUUGAACCUCACAUCACUUCAGUGCUGUUUGUCACAGGCACUGAGCUCUCAUGUAACAUCCCUGCAGCUCUCAGGUGCACAGCUGAGGACAGACACGCUGCUCCCAGUGCACACUGGCCCGUGGUGAGUCCGGAGCUGCCGGUGCUUGUGGUGGUGUCUGCCAGGGCCCUCCACUGCUGGCAACACCAGGUGCUGCUGGGGACAUGAAACAAGGCUCUGAUUUACAUGUCCAAGUGUGGCUUUAAGGGCUUGACUACAGGUAUUUCAACCCUGAAACACACACUGCAGCACAGCAGGCUUCUUUCUAAAAAAAGCCCUCUGAUCUGUAAUAUUAUCAGCAUUGAGGCAGCAGAAGCAAAGCAGAUUUCUCUUUAUUUUCUUCUGCCUUAGAGGAGGAGUAUUCACUUGCCCUUCAGUAUGAUUACAGCCCAUUUACCACUUCUAUUUUUUUAAAUUUCAGGCCUACAUUUUGGAACAGUCACAAGGUAGAAGUGUUUCUUUUCAGAGCCUGGAGCAGUCAGCACAAGGGUAAAGUUUAUUUAACAAAAAAAAAUAUUUCCAGCUGAAUACAUAUUGUGAAAUUACAGGUCCAUUUAAAGCAAAAUAGAAUUGGUUGUGGGUCAGAGUCAGGGAAGGAAGAUAAGAACAUCUGCUGCAAAGUGCAUCCAGCAACUGUCUUCAAAUUUAAAAGUUUUUUUUAUAGGAUGUUUUUUCUUUUCUUUUUGUAAUUAUUCAAAAUAAUAGAACGAAAAAAAUGUGCUAGAUGCUGAAAGCAAGGUCGAGGCUUGCUCAGGGAUUGCAAGUAGAUGCAUUAUAAGUGGUGUCUCAAACCUGACUGAUUUCAGAGUUACGGGCUCUGUCUUUCCAGGAUGGAGGUCUGUGUCCUUCCUGUCCACACACGUGUAAGGGAUGUUCUCCCAGCAUGGCUGGCCAGGGCAGGACACUGAGAGACCCCAGGAGGGCUGACCUUGGCUGCACACUCCUUGCUUUACAGCCAUUGCCCUGAUCCCCAGAAGUCACCUCGAUCCUUUUUGUUCCAGACUGAAGCUGUCAAAAUCCACACUCUUCAUGAGAAAGAGAGUUGUUACCCACUUUUGAUAAUGGUACUUUUAGUUGGCUCUUGCCACUCUUGCUACACAGCCUGGCUGCUGUGUCUCCUCCCAGGCUCUGCUGUAAUGUCCUUCUGCCCCUGCUCCAAGGGCUCUCGGUGUUUCCUUAACACUGGGAGGUGAGCUGGGAACAAACACAGGAAUAUCCUGGUGGUCCUACCAGCAUCAGCCCUGUGUGUUUGCCUGUGUGAACUGUGGGAGACAUGGAGGCAUCAGGAGAGCUCAUAUCAUUACAGGAGGUGCUCCUGUGCCAAGGAGAUCAUCUUAAUGAAACUCUAUCACUUGAGGAGUGACUUCUAGGGAUUUUAAGGGACUGGGGAAUGCCUAAGUGUGUCUUUGUCUUGACACUACUGAAUCAUACUGAGCCAUAAGCCUGGCAUUUAAACACAGAUGUGUGUUGUGUGCUGUCCUCUUCUUAUGAAUUAAAACAAAAAAAAAAAAAAAAAAAAAAAAGAAGGUAGAAAUAGUAAUUUCCCUCAUUGUGUUGCAUGUAAAAAUAUCAUACUCCACAGCUGAGACAUUUUUGGUGCCCACACAGAUAUACAGAGUCAGUUCUGGGGGUAGAAAACGGGGAUGAUCCACUUGCCGGUGUAGAUACAUUCCCUGCAGCUCAGAUUCUGAUCUCUCUGGGUGGCACCAAGAAAUUCCCCAUCUUUGGCCAGGGGUGAUGGCUGAGCAAAGCAGCUGGAGCCCUUGUUCUCCCUGAGUGCCGGAGGAGGCGUUUCCGGAGCCCGGCACAUCUCCAGGUGCGGCACAACAGCUCCUCUCUCAGGUCCUGCUCCUGCCACGAGCUGUGCUUUAAAACCAGCUGAGCCUCCCACAUGGCAGCGUGAUUUACUAAACCACUAAGAUAUUGGGUCAGCCUUGUAAAUCAUUUUAAUUAUUUCACUAAACAGGUUGUGGAAAUAGAUCAAUAGAAAAUAUGGCAUUUAGGCUUACAGUGCUGUGCAUUCAUUAUGGGAAAGGAAUUAUAUUAACUGAUUUAGGAGCUAAUAAUAACUGAAAAUAACAAUUUAAUGGAAGCCUUCCAAUCCUGCACUUUCAAAGGAGGAUACAGCUAUACGCAGUCUACUCAUUUUAAUCUCAGUCAAGUAUACAGAGCAAUCUUUUGACUCUCAGAGAAAUGUCAGUCAAGUACAAGUACUUGCAGACUUUCAGCAUCCCAUAAAUUACAUUGUAAUAAAAUCAAAACAAAGAAACUGUCAACAACCAUUUUUACAUACUGGCAGGGUCACACGAACCCGGCGCAUGAAAAAUAAGAAAAUAUAUUGCAAUCUAACAAAGUGAAAGGGUUGCACAGUAGGGGCUAUUUUUCUCUUGCAGUUUGUAUUUCUGUGAGACCAUAGUUUGUGCUGCUGAGCUUGAAGGACACUUCUCUCUCUAAAAUAUUGGGGUUUUAUCUCAAACAUCUGAAUAGUAAAUAUAUGCUAUAUUUAUGUGAA